rnacentral:rRNA from 1 species
AGCCAGACUCCUACGGGAGGCAGCAGUGGGGAAUAUUGGGCAAUGGAGGCAACUCUUACCCAGCAAUGCCGCGUGAAUGAAGAAGGUCUUCGGAUUGUAAAGUUCUUUAAUUGGGGACGAAAAAAAUGACGGUACCCAAGGAAUAAGCCCCGGCUAACUACGUGCCAGCAGCCGCGGUAAUACGUAGGGGGCAAGCGUUGUUCGGAAUGACUGGGCGUAAAGGGAGCGUAGACGGCGAAGUAAGCCUGAAGUGGAAGCCCGCGGCCCAACCGCGGAACUGCUUUGGGAACUGUUUUGCUGGAGUAUGGGAGGGGUAAGCGGAAUUCCUGGUGUAGCGGUGAAAUGCGUAGAUAUCAGGAGGAACACCGGUGGCGAAGGCGGCUUACUGGACCAUGACUGACGUUGAGGCUCGAAAGCGUGGGGAGCGAACAGGAUUAGAUACCCUUGUA